rnacentral:rRNA from 1 species
UACAGAGGUCUCAAGCGUUGUUCGGAUUCAUUGGGCGUAAAGGGUGCGUAGGCGGCGCGGUAAGUCGGGUGUGAAAUCUUGGAGCUUAACUCCGAAACUGCAUUCGAUACUGCCGUGCUUGAGGACUGGAGAGGAGACUGGAAUUUCCGGUGUAGCGGUGAAAUGCGUAGAUAUCGGAAGGAACAUCGGUGGCGAAGGCGGUUCUCUGGGCCUUACCUGACGCUGAGGAGCGAAAGCGUGGGGAGCGAACAGG